AAAGCAGUCUAUAGCAAGGGCCGGGCAAGACCGGUGCCAGCCGCCGCGGUAACACCGGCGGCUCGAGUGGUAACCGCUGUUAUUGGGUCUAAAGGGUCUGUAGCCUGCCGGCUAAGUCUCGGCACCGCGAUAAGGGGACCUCGAGUGCUGGGUUACAAACCUGGCUGUUGGGCUGCCUAAAACCGGAUUAGAUACCCGGGUAGUCCUAGCCGUAAACGAUACUCGCUAGGUGUCGGCCACUUGGGAAAUCUGGCAUCUCAAGUGUCAGGCUGCCAGGGGAUACUGGUCAGCUUGGGACCGGGAGAGGUGAGAGGUACCUCAGGGGUAGGGGUGAAAUCUUGUAAUCCUUGAGGGACCACCGGUGCGACCGUGGUCGGUGCCGUAGGGAGUGGCGAAGGCGUCUCACCAGAACGGAUCCGACGGCAAGGGACGAAAGCUAGGGGCACG
rnacentral:rRNA from 1 species